UUACUGAUAGGUUAUUUAAACUUAUAGGUUGUGGUCUUAUAGAAUACAUUUUAUGUUUUGAGUGUGCCAGUAAA
rnacentral:tRNA from 1 species